rnacentral:rRNA from 1 species
GUAGGGAAUAUUGCGCAAUGGGCGAAAGCCUGACGCAGCAACGCCGCGUGAGUGAUGAAGGAUUUCGGUUUGUAAAGCUCUGUUGCAGGGGAAAAAGAAAGUGAUUGUACCCUGUGAGGAAGGGACGGCUAACUUCGUGCCAGCAGCCGCGGUAAUACGAAGGUCCCUAGCGUUGUUCGGAAUCAUUGGGCGUAAAGCGUAUGUAGGUGGCUUUGUAAGUCAGGUGUGAAAUCCCAGGGCUCAACCCUGGAAGUGCAUUUGAAACUGCUUAGCUUGAAUACGGAAGAGGGUAGUGGAAUUCCUGGUGUAGUGGUGAAAUACGUAGAUAUCAGGAGGAACAUCGGUGGCGAAGGCGGCUACCUGGUCCAGUAUUGACACUGAGAUACGAAAGUGUGGGGAUCAAACAGGAUUAGAAACCCGGGUAGUCC